UACGGGGGGAGCAAGCGUUGUUCGGAUUUACUGGGCGUAAAGGGCGCGUAGGCGGCCAGCACAAGUCAGUUGUGAAAUCUCCGAGCUUAACUCGGAAAGGUCAACUGAUACUGUGCGGCUAGAGUGCAGAAGGGGCAACUGGAAUUCUUGGUGUAGCGGUGAAAUGCGUAGAUAUCAAGAGGAACACCUGCGGCGAAGGCGGGUUGCUGGGCCGACACUGACGCUGAUGCGGCGAAAGCCAGGGGAGCGAACGGG
rnacentral:rRNA from 1 species